CCUACGGGUGGCAGCAGUGGGGAAUAUUGGACAAUGGGCGAAAGCCUGAUCCAGCCAUGCCGCGUGUGUGAAGAAGGCCUUCGGGUUGUAAAGCACUUUCAGUGGGGAAGAAAGCCUUGGGGCUAAUACCCUCGAGGAAGGACAUCACCCACAGAAGAAGCACCGGCUAACUCCGUGCCAGCAGCCGCGGUAAUACGGAGGGUGCGAGCGUUAAUCGGAAUUACUGGGCGUAAAGCGCGCGUAGGCGGUCUGAUAAGCCGGUUGUGAAAGCCCCGGGCUCAACCUGGGAACUGCAUCCGGAACUGUCAGGCUAGAGUGCAGGAGAGGAAGGUAGAAUUCCCGGUGUAGCGGUGAAAUGCGUAGAGAUCGGGAGGAAUACCAGUGGCGAAGGCAGCCUUCUGGACUGACACUGACGCUGAGGUGCGAAAGCGUGGGUAGCAAACAGGAUUAGAUACCCCUGUAGUC
rnacentral:rRNA from 1 species